rnacentral:tRNA from 1 species
GGGGGUGUAGCUCAGUUGGAUAGAGCAUCGGAUUUCUAAUCCGACGGUCGGGGGUUCGAGUCCCUCCACCCCUGCCA